GACGAACGCUCGCUGCGUGCUUAACACAUGCAAGUCGAAAGCUGAAGCCCGCAGCUUGCUGUGGGUGGAUGAGUGGCGAACGGGUGAGUAACACGUGAGUAACCUGCCCCUGACUUCGGGAUAAGCCCGGGAAACUGGGUCUAAUACCGGAUACGACCAUCGGACGCAUGUCUGGUGGUGGAAAGUUUUUUCGGUUGGGGAUGGGCUCGCGGCCUAUCAGUUUGUUGGUGAGGUGAUGGCUCACCAAGACGACGACGGGUAGCCGGCCUGAGAGGGCGACCGGCCACACUGAGACUGAGACGCGGACGGGACGCGUACUGGAGGCAGAAGUGGGGAAUAUUGCACAAGGGGGGAAACACGUGUGCAGCGACGCAGCGGGCGGUAUGACGGCCUUCGGGUUGUAAACCGCUUUCAGCAGGGAAGAAGCGAAAGUGACGGUACCUGCAGAAGAAGUACCGGCUAACUACGUGCCAGCCGCCGCCGUAA
rnacentral:rRNA from 1 species